ACACUAACAGGGCCGCCCCAGUCAGGGUGACAGAACCCAGCUGCUGGCUCCAGGCUCCAUCGUCAGAAGGUUCCACUUACUGCAGAACUCUGUCUCCAGAGAGCGUGGAUUCUAACUAGUUUUUUUCCACCUCUAAAAAAGUGGCUAGCUCAUCAUUAUUGUCCUCAUUUUUUAGGAAGGAACCACAUGUGAAACCACUUACCUGUUUAACCCUAUGAACUUGAAGAGAACAUGUAAUGCCACUUAAAAUACCUAAGCUCGGGUUCUGCCUUCAGCGACUCCUGGUAGUAGUGCCCUUAUGAGCCAUUUAUCAAGAAGAAAGCAAGACUAGUCCCUUCUCUUCCUCCUCCACCUCAGCCUUCUCAAUGUGAAGAUGACAAGGAUGAAGACCUUUCUGAUGAUUCACUUUCACUUAAUGAAUAGCUUUAAGAUACAAGAUACUUCAAUGAAUAAAACAAAGACCUUUGCUUUCCUGAAACUUGAGAUCAAAUGGAGGACACACAAAAACAACGCACCUACAAAUCACCAUAUUGUGUGUCAGGAGCUGAGGAUGCUAUGAAAACCCCUUGAGGAAACAAAGGCACCUUGGGGGCCAUUGAGAACUCCUGACGAAGAGGGCUCAGCUGCCAGACCUGCUCAAGAAAGACCUCAGAAAUCUCUAUGGGGCUGUCAGAAGAAAAGGUUUGAAAAGGGUCUGGAGAGACUGAAAUUUGUCUGCCUUGGACUUUUCUUUUGACAAUUCACAUCCAACUUAAGCAGAAUCAUUGUUUAUUCUUAUUAUGCCAGGUUUCCUUUUCUGGUCUGCAGGUUCUCUAGGGUUUCAUAGGCUAGUAGUUGGAAUUUUCAUAUUUCCAAAGCAUUGGGGAUUUUGCAAAAACAAAAUCUAAAGGAUAUUCAGCAGCACAGUUUACUUAGGAGGUUUUAAUCAUAAUAAUCUGCAUAAUGUAUGAGAAUUUCUACCUCAGCUGCCUCCUUUCUUUCUCUUUCGUGUCUGGGAAAAAGCCAGGGAUUUUUCCCUUCCUCUGAUUUAAAUACCUUAUAAAAUUUUGGUGGAAG
ensembl:lncRNA novel transcript